GACGAACGCUGGCGGCGUGCUUAACACAUGCAAGUCGAACGAUGAACCCGGAGCUUGCUCCGGUGGAUUAGUGGCGAACGGGUGAGUAACACGUGAGUAACCUGCCCUUGACUCUGGGAUAACUGCGGGAAACUGUAGCUAAUACCGGAUACGACCCUCGGCGGCAUCGCCAGGGGGUGGAAAGAAUUUCGGUCAAGGAUGGACUCGCGGCCUAUCAGCUAGUUGGUGAGGUAACGGCACACCAAGGCCACGACGGGUAGGCGGCCUGGCAGGGUGAACGGGCACGCGGGGACUGGGGCACGGCCCAGACUACGACGGGAGGCAGCAGUGGGGAAUAUUGCACAAUGGGCGCAAGCCGGAUGCAGCCACGCCGCGUGAGGGAUGACGGCCUUCGGGUUGUAAGCAUCAUUUAGUGGGAAAGAAGCGAAAGUGGCGGUACCUGCAGAAAAAGCACCGGCUACCUGCGUGCCAGCCGCCGCAGUAA
rnacentral:rRNA from 1 species